CCCCUUUUCAUUUGCGGCGCCAUCCCUAUAUAGGCCCUCGCCGGUUCAGGCCGGCUAUGGUGAUAAACUGCGGCGUGGAAUAGGCGCAGCGGACCCGGGGGCGGUACCCGGCGGCUCCACCAUCACUCCCGCUUUCGGGCGAGGGUUUUGACGGGGCCGAACUAGGAUCGACGUGUGUUCAAAGACGCUGUUUUUGCCCGGGCUGAGUAACCCGUAAAAGGCUCAAAACCAAACAAGUGCCAACGACAACGACGCACUUGCUCUUGCCGCGUAAUUCUAGGGCCUAACGGCCUGAAGUUACAAAGCCAGAACGCGGUUGAACCCACCGGGCAACAGAAGGGAAUUCAGCGGUACGGGGGGCACCGGGCAACAGAAGCCCCCCACU
rnacentral:tmRNA from 1 species